UACGAAGGGGGCUAGCGUUGUUCGGAAUUACUGGGCGUAAAGCGCACGUAGGCGGACAUUUAAGUCAGGGGUGAAAUCCCGGGGCUCAACCCCGGAACUGCCUUUGAUACUGGGUGUCUGGAGUAUGGAAGAGGUGAGUGGAAUUCCGAGUGUAGAGGUGAAAUUCGUAGAUAUUCGGAGGAACACCAGUGGCGAAGGCGGCUCACUGGCCCGGUACUGACGCUGAGGUGCGAAAGCGUGGGGAGCAAACAGG
rnacentral:rRNA from 1 species